UACGUAGGGGGCAAGCGUUGUCCGGAAUCAUUGGGCGUAAAGCGCGCGUAGGCGGCCCGAUAAGUCUGCUGUGAAAGUCCAGGGCUCAACCCUGGAAUGCCGGUGGAUACUGUCGGGCUAGAGUUCGGAAGAGGCGAGUGGAAUUCCUGGUGUAGCGGUGAAAUGCGCAGAUAUCGGGAGGAACACCGGUGGCGAAGGCGGUUCUCUGGGCCUUACCUGACGCUCAGGUGCGAAAGCGU
rnacentral:rRNA from 1 species